rnacentral:rRNA from 1 species
GACGAACGCUGGCGGCGUGCUUAACACAUGCGAGUCGAACGGAAAGGCCCUGCUUUUGUGGGGUGCUCGAGUGGCGAACGGGUGAGUAACACGUGAGUCACCUGCCCUUGACUUUGGGAUAACUUCAGGAAACUGGGGCUAAUACCGGAUAGGAGCUCCUGCUGCAUGGUGGGGGUUGGAAAGUUUCGGCGGUUGGGGAUGGACUCGCGGCUUAUCAGCUUGUUGGUGGGGUAGUGGCUUACCAAGGCUGUGACGGGUAGCCGGCCUGAGAGGGUGACCGGCCACAUUGGGACUGAGAUACGGCCCAGACUCCUACGGGAGGCAGCAGUGGGGAAUAGUGCACAAUGGGCGGAAGCCUGAUGCAGCAACGCCGCGUGCGGGAUGACGGCCUUCGGGUUGUAAACCGCUUUCGCCUGUGACGAAGCGUGAGUGACGGUAAUGGGUAAAGAAGCACCGGCUAACUACGUG